rnacentral:miRNA from 1 species
CUUAGACUGCCAGACUCCCUGA